GACGAACGCUGGCGGCGUGCUUAACACAUGCAAGUCGAACGAAGAGCGAUGGAAGCUUGCUUCUAUCAAUCUUAGUGGCGAACGGGUGAGUAACGCGUAAUCAACCUGCCCUUCAGAGGGGGACAACAGUUGGAAACGACUGCUAAUACCGCAUACGAUCUAAUCUCGGCAUCGAGGAUAGAUGAAAGGUGGCCUCUACAUGUAAGCUAUCACUGAAGGAGGGGAUUGCGUCUGAUUAGCUAGUUGGAGGGGUAACGGCCCACCAAGGCGAUGAUCAGUAGCCGGUCUGAGAGGAUGAACGGCCACAUUGGGACUGAGACCCGGCCCAGACUCCUACGGGAGGCAGCAGUGGGGAAUCUUCCGCAAUGGACGAAAGUCUGACGGAGCAACGCCGCGUGAGUGAUGACGGCCUUCGGGUUGUAAAGCUCUGCUAAUCGGGACGAAAGGCCUUCUUGCGAAUAGUGAGAAGGAUUGACGGUACCGGAAUAGAAAGCCACGGCUAACUACGUG
rnacentral:rRNA from 1 species